UUUCAUUAUUUACCCCCUUUUAGCCAAAAGAGAUCGUAAAGAUCUCACUUUUACAAAACCCCCAAUUUCCUUCCCUUAGAUUAGGAAUCUAGGGUGGCCGAAAAUCGCUUCCGCUGCUCUUCCACCUUCAACCACCGUCCACCUACCCAUUGAUCACCGUUGACCACCGGCUGAUAAUCAUCUCCGCCGGCCGGAGUUUAUGAAAUUGCCCCAAACCACAUUUGUUCUUCUCCUCCUCUACACCCUCUCGUUAAGAUCCAGUCCCAAUUCUUACCCAACCACCACCAGAAUCGAAAUCCUAGCCUGUUAUGCCUCUUUUCAAUUUUACUCACAACUGUUGAUCACAUGACCUUGAAGCCUACACCAUCUGAUAGAAUUCACAAAGAUAUAUGUAGUGGUGUUGGUAUUAGGUCAUUUCACGAUCAUCGGCGCCGAUCAACUCAUCGUUGACCGACCAAAAUUCAUGCAAUACCUUCGUCACCACACUCGUUUGACUCCCAUGAGUCUUUCUUCCAAGAAGAUCCAUCAGGAUUCUAAAUCCAAGACGGAUCUCUUGGCGGAAAGACCUUGGAGGUCGAACAAAUCAAUGUCUGCCACCUAUGUUCUUUUCGGGCUCCUCCUAAUCUUAAAUGGUAUAUCCUAAAUCUCCAGUUCUUUUCUUACUUAUCUUGCACUGUUUGAAUGUGAUCUCAUGCGACCAUGUGUUUUCCUGUCAUUCAAUUUGUUUGCACAUUGGGUAUUAGGUUUUCUUUCUAGUUAUGGUUUGUUUGUUCCAAAUUAGUUGAUGAAAUCAAAUUGCAUGUUAAUUGACAAGUCUGGUAAUUUUUUAUCUAAUUGUGUGCAUUUAAGAUAAUUUAAAUUAAGUAGCUUGAUUGAUUAUUAGCAGCGUGAUUAUUGUCUAACUUUUGUUUAUUUAAUCAUAUGUUUACUUGUAGAAUUUAUUUAGUUUGGAAGUUAAGUCAAGUAUUAGAUUUUGAUGGAAGGAUUUGGGAAUUGAAACUAGUAAGUUGGGCCUGUUUUGAACAUCGGGCAGGCCCUGUAAUAAUCAAUUGGGCAUUUUGACCUUCUGGGUCAAACAUGAGGAAGAUCUAAAAUCAUUUUGGCCUAUUAUUGGGAUCAGAUGAUGUAAGAAGUAUAAAGAAAGAGAGUAAAAGGGAGGAGUGAGAAAACAUAAGCUUUUAGAAGGGAAUGAGUAAGCUAAAAUAAAUAAGAGAUGGAUUUCGGGGCUAAUUUAGAAAAAUUACCGAGGUAAUCUUAGAGGAAGCGGCUAGGAAUGAACUUGGGGAAUUUGUUUGGCUAAAGUACAUGGGCUUCCUAGAAUUAAGGUCAGAAGAAGGAAAUGCGGGGGAGAGCGACAGCUGGUAAUAAUUCUAUUGUCCAGAGGGCAUAGAAUCCUCUAGAAAUAAUUAUAGGGGGUUAAAAAGGGAACAAACAAAAAAUAGAAAACCCUAGAGUUAGCCUAUAAAUAUACCCAUUCUCUCAUUUGAGAGGGAGGAACAAGCAUUUUUAGAAGAAGUUCUUUUAUUCUGAAAAAUCCUUAGGAGAAAAAGAGGAACAUCAGUAGUUUUUUUUUCUCUAAAACCCUGCUAUUCUUCUCUGGGUUUUUUGAAGUCGAGUUUCUUGGCUUGAAUUGGAUCAUGUGAGUCUAAAAUCAGGGUUUCAAGAUUUGGAUUCUUGCUGUUGAAGGUGUGUUUUGCUGAACUCCAUCCUUUCUUGCCUUGAUUUGGCACCUCUGGUUUUGCUUGCUCUUGCUCAUUAGGUAAACACAUGGCACUUUGUAGAUAUAUUUAGUUGAAUGAUUAAAAGUAGUUGGUUAACUGAAUUUUCUGCCUGUUUCAUUUAAUUUUAAUCCUAUUUUUAUGACUAUGUGUGUUAUAGCUUUGGAUGAUUUGAAAUGAUAGUUGUUUAGCUCAUUAAAGCAUGCUAUAGAUGUAGUUAAGAUCAAUGAAAAUCAGUCAUUAAAAUAGCAUCAUGUCGAGCUCAAUUGAUUUCUCUCUCUAAUUGAUUUUGCUGUGCUUGUGCUUGAUUUAGUGAGCAUAUGAGUUUCUUUUGGAUGUUCUUUACUCAUUAAAAAUAGUUAUGGUGUUAUUUAGAUGUUGAGAUUGAAUGAGAGUCUACUGGAAUUAGAGUAAUUACUGUGAAGUGGACCUAGGAAGUGUUGGUUCUGAAAUAAAAUCCUAAUUAGCGUUUAACCAAGCUCAAAUAUCCAAGAGUACAAAAAUGGCUACUACUAUAAAUUAUUGAUUUUGAUUAGCUUAGCGUCAAGUACAAAAUGUUAUCUGCAAGUUGUUACACUCCGCAGUAUUACAACGAUGUUAUACUCCGUAGUAUUGUACGUUGGAUUUGUCAUAAAUUGACAUUAGUUUAAGGACAAGAUUAUUUUGAGGUUAUAAGUAUUACGUUAUUUCAAACAAGUGAUAAGUAAAUUCGUGAAGGUGAGAGGGUAAGCAAUUCGAAAAAAAUGAGUUUCGUCGAAGUUUGACAAUUUGGGAUAAAAUGCGGUCCAAACUAUAAUAUCCCGUAUUUAUGGACUAGUGCCAUACAAAGUACCAUAUGACCAUGAUAGUAAAGUGUAUAAAGUGUGUUAAAAGUAAUUAGUAUUUUAAGUAAUUUGAAAUAAUUCUUAAUUAUGUGGAUAAUUGGUAAUUUUUGAUUUUUAGUGGGUGAGUUAACAAGGUAAUUAAUUUUGGUGGAUAAGCUUAAAGGGACAUCACCCUCAACGUAGCAGCAAGGGGACUUAAGCAUCAAUGACUCUUUGGUGUAUAUAAUUAGGUGGCAUAUUUAGAGAUUUUUGGGAAAAAUAAUCCCCAAAAGUGGGCCCCACAAACUUCAAAGAUAAGAGAUAUUCAUACAUCAUUUAAGAGGGAUGUGCAUGUUGGUUAAGUAACGGAUGAAGCCUCCAAAAUAAUUCAUAUGGAACUUCAUAAUACUAUAGCAAUGUAAGAUUUGCGAUUCUAAGGAAAUACGGUGUAAUCUUUCUCAAGAAUAUCAUACGGAUUUUUUCCUAUUCCGAUCUCGCCGUUACUUGUUUCUUCGCGAUUGGCGUGUGUUAGAGUGAUUGUCAAGAGAAUCGGCUCAGGUAUGUUAAGACUAUCCCUUCUUUCCUUUUGGUAUGAUACAUACGAUACAAACGAAAUGAGCAAACGUACAUCUUUCAUAAAUACCUCUAUUCAUAGAAGCACUAGGGGUGCCUAUGUUCUUGAUUUCCCAUGUGUCUUAUUAUAUCUUCUGUUCAUGGGUCUCGAAAAAGAAAUGCGUAAUUGAUAAAGUUUAUCCGAAGACAUAUUGAUCUUAUGACAUUCCGAGAAAUCUUAUUAACUUAUUUCUUAUGCAUUUCAUUCAUUUAUACAUGUGCAUUGACGCAUGACCAGAUGACGUUAUAUAUGCGUAUAUUAUAUGUAUAUGGGAUAUUGAAAAAGGUUACGACAUUAUAUACGCACCACCAACUGAUCAGCUGUUAUACGUUGAUGAUUUUGCCUACAGUGGCCGAGAUGAUAUGAUGGGAUGCCCUCAGAGACUUGAUGAUGUUAUGUACGCAUAUACCUAUGCAUGACAUGACAUUUAUACGCACGUGCAUGGCAUUAUAAAUAUUUCAGGAUUCACAAAGUUAUUUAGACUUAUAGGUGGAAUUCUUUACUCCACGUUUCUUUUAUGUCUUUUAUGUACUUAUUUUCAUGCCUUACAUACUCAGUACUUUUUUUGUACUGACGUCCCUUUUGCCUAGGGACGAUGCGUUUCAUGCCCGCAGGUACCGAUAGACAAGUUGAGAAUCCUCCAAGUAGGCUAUCAAUUCAGUAGAAGGUGUUGGUGCACUUCAUUAGCUCCGGAAUUGCCUAUUUAGUUAGUAUGAUUUGGACAUGUAUGGAUUGGUAUAGCGGGGCCCUAUCUCGACCUUUAUGACAUUUAUGUACUCUUAGAGGCUUGUAGACAUAUGUCAUGUAUAUGGAUACUUGUAUGUCCUUGUAGGCCUAUGGUGUGAGUAUACAAAUGAUCAUGUCGGCCUUAUAGGCCCGUAUGUCAUAUGUAUAAGUCGGUACAUCACGUUGGGUCGUCCUAUGUCGAGUAUUUCCCUCAUGUUUUAUUCUAGUUAUGUCACGACAGCCCUUCCAGCUCAUUUACCUAUGAUAGUAUGAUACGACAGAUACGUUACGUUGGUACUCGGUUGAGUAAGGUACCGGGUGCCCGUCGUGGCCCAUCGGUUUGGAUCGUGACAAAAGUGGUAUCAGAGCAGUUCUGUCCUAGGAAGUCUACAAGUCGUGUCUAUAGAGUCUUAUUUAUGGGUGUGUUGUGUACCACACUUAUAAGCUGGAGGCUACAGGGUAUUUAGGACUGUCACUCUUUCUUCUUACUCUAGAUCGUGUGGUAGAGCUAACUUAUAAGAAUUCAAAUUCCUAAAUUCUAUUUUAUUCGUAGUAAGACGAUACCUACAUCCAAAGGAUAAUUAGUAAGAGGCUGCAUGUGGUUGUGGAAAAGUUGGGUUAGAGAAACUCGAUUUUGCCAUUCUUAUAAUGUAUAAAUGUGAGGUCUUCAGCAGAACAUGUGUAUACUAAGACGUGUAAGCUUCUUGAUAAGGAGUCUUAAGGCAAGAAUAUCUAUCCACCCAUAUGGUGAAAAGCAAUGAGAGAUUCAGAAGGUAGAUACAAGUUUCAACAAGUAAAAGAAUCAAGGUGAGGAAGGGUACGAGGCACCCAGUUAAUGAAAAUUAUCAGUAUUUACAAUUCAGGCAGAGAAAUAUAAGCAUUUUGAGUUAACUUCAAUAGUAACAGAUGUAUGUACAAUCGGCCACACUUAUCUCAGUUAUGCCCUAUGGGAGCUAACAGAUAUAGUUUAAGAGAAGGACGGGACAUCAGGAUCUGGCUGGGGUUAGAGUAACCCAAAAUGGUGGAUGGAUUGUUUACGUUAGUUGACAUUUCCGAAGGAUAUUGCAAAUGUGCUAAUAGAUCUCCUUGUGAGACACCCAGAUGGUGCACUCUAGAAUAGUAUAGCUAGAUAUGCAAAGAUAGGCAUCGAAAGUCGGAAGGGAUAAAUAUUACCUUAGUGUGGCUCCCGUCCCUAGUAGAGAGAGAAUGUUAGGUAACCCAAAGAGGUAGUGGAUGGAGCAAGAGGAGCUAAAAGGAAAAGAAUGUCUUGUUGAAGUUUUCAGAAUAAAGUGAUAGACAGAAAUAUUAGCAGGGAAAUAAGAAAAGAGAUAAUGAAGCAUUAUGAGUAAGAUGUGAUACAUGGAUGACAACGGUAGAUAAAAAAAAUGAUAGUAUUACAGAGUCUAUAGUCAAGUGAAGGAAAAGAUGAGAGGUGACAGGCCUUGAGACAACAAAAGAGUAUAGGCCAUAAUGUCAUAUCCUCAUUUUGAGAAAUAAGUUCGUGACUCCAACGCGACUACCAGAACGAAAAGUUAGACACCAGAGUAAUAGAAAUCAGUAUGAGCUGGUGAACAAGAUAAACUAAACAUGAAUUAAGGACUGAGUGAUUUGAUAAUAGUCGGCAUCAUGAGAAUUUCAGAGAUUGUGUUCCGGCGAUAAUAGAAUGGGCGACAGAAGAAUAACCUUUAAAGGUCAUUCAGGAAGACGCUUCCCUAAAGCAAGCAAUGUGAGCAAAGUUAAGCUUAAGGGACUAUGUGUGCCAGUUACACUAGGUGUCUCCCUCGUGAGUAAGGAAUUUUGUUGUCCUUGGUACAAAAGGAUUUCUGCAAGGCGAGUCAGGGUCAUCGAUGAUGUGAAAAGACGCCAAAGAUGAAGAGGUAAAAUAUCUAUACGUAGAUCAUCGUAGUACUAAAUCUUAGUACUCCCCUAAGGGGAGGGGGGGAUAUGGAGUGAUGUGGCAUUAAGUCAGAGUUAAGUGGUUCUAGAAACUAUGGAAUAAUAAAGGAAGAAUGCGAUAAAAAUGAGAAAGGGAGGAGAUUGCACUUAUUCAAACCCUACAGAUAUGCUACGAUCCCAUAACAUUAUACAAACACGGCGUCAAGGAGAAGAAGUAAGGGUUCCUAUGCGAGAUGUUAUUGAUAAAUAAGGAGCCAGUGCGAGAGGUAAGUUAAGGCAAAGGAAAUAACCCAAGAAAGAUUACGCGGAAUAUUGAUAUGAUAAUGGGCCAAUGAGUAGUUAGUAGUAAUUAAGGAAGAGCCUAAUUAUGGCUAGACAAGAGGAUACAAACAAAUCCACAGAUCGUGCAAGAUAAACAUAGUGAACCCCGACAUAGUUAAUUCAGUCUCGCAGAUAAUGAUAUCGUGAUCCUUAAAAAAUUUUCAAAUAAGAGUUGGGGUAGUUAAAUGCACUAGUUAAGUUUUACGAAAAUAAGAAAGAGUACCACUAAGGAGACAAUCAAAAUCUGAGUUCAGAAGUAAUCCUACGAGCACAAGGGUACAGAGGUAUGUAACUACGAAUAUUUAUAGGCGAGUAAGAACAUCGAAAAUUCCUUCGGGUAUACAAUAUAACGAGCAAUUUUACAAGAGUUAGAGGGUCUUCCCUAAGUACUACAACGAAAGACUAGCUGAGGAAAUAAGGAAGAAGGCUUCAACCUAAGCACAACGACCUAAAGAGGAAAUGGUCUUGUAAUAACAAUCUCACAACAACAUUGUAUGCACUCCAUAAGAAAGUGGCACCUAUCGUGGCUAAUGAACGGGAAGAAGAAAAAAAAUCAGAAGGUGAUAUUCAAGAUCAUAUGGCUUGUAUGGAAUUCCAAUAUGUGUGGGCACUAAGAUAAGCCAAGUAUUCAUGCAACAAGUGGCAGAACGACCAGGAAAAGUAAUUGCUUACAUUUAAAGAAAGUUGAGAAGGAACGAAAGGAAUUAUUUGAUCAAUGAUCCAGAGUUAGUUACGUUAUGAAUGCACUUAAGAUUUCGGAGUAUGGUAGAGAGACAAGGUUUUAGGAAGACAUGAGUAAGGAUAAGAAAAGGUGAGUGAGAAGGUGAUGAGAAUGGAUAAGUACUCGGGAUUAAGCCCAUGAAAACAAGAGCUCUGAUGGUUUCUCUAAGUUAUAGAAAGCUCAGUAUAACCUGAAUGAACUCAAAGGAGUCUAAGACUAGUAGCAUUUAGAAGAGAUGAAAUACUGCCCUGGUAGUAGAAUGAGGGUGUAAUUGUGAUAGAUAAAGGAUGAUGUUGGGCCUUCGAUUGAGUAAUGAUUUGAAGAAAAAAAAGGGAUUUCAUGAAUUAUAUAGGAUUAAAAUACCCCCAUAAGAUGAACCACGUAGGGAUGCCAUGAAAUGCGGUUAUUGAAGUAUAGUAUCGUCCCUAAGUGGAUCAGGAAAAUCACUUCAAAUAUUCCUCGAUGCAACGUGAGCCCUAGUGACAAUAUAUUACGUAAGAGGUUUCAAGUUAUCGGUGGUAGAUUGUAUAUCAAUAUUGAGGUGAAUCAACAAUAGAUGGAUAAAAGUUACAAAGUAUGAGAUGAUAUUAGGCCGUCAUUCUUAAGAUGAACAGUAAUGAGGAAGCAUUAAAGGACUUAGAUUUAUACAUAUAGGAUAAGCAAAGAGAGUAACCUGGAGUUUGGUAGCAGACCUUAGUAACGGUAAAUCGAAGUAAGAAUUAUGGUAUAGUAUGACCUACUUAGAUGUAGUAAAGCCAUAGAUGCCCAUAGGGACAACUUGUCAUAAUUUUGUAUAUGUUCACAAAGUGAGGCCUAGAGAUUGGCUAAAAGCUGGAGGGAAGAGUCGCAUAGGCGCACAUACAAGGAAAAAGUCGCACAGGCUGCAUGACAGAAGGUAGCAAGUGCUAGGAGAUUGGAGGAAUUUCGACCACAGGCUGUGGUGUGAGAAGGAGGCCUAAAGGUGGGAAUGCCCUAGACUUUGGAUUUAUUCACAGAACAGUUCCCUAAAUGGCAAGGAAAGUAUUAAAAUAAUUCGUAAAAGCUAUCCGGUUAUGAGACCGAUAAGUACAUCAGUCAACAUUCGAGGACGAAUAUUCCAAAGGGGGAAAUGAUGUUACACUCCACAGUAUUACAAUGAUGUUGCACCCCGUAGUAUUGUACGUUGGAUUUGUUGUAAAUUGGUAUCAGUUCAAGGAUAAGAUUAUUUUGAGGUUAUAAGUAUUACGCUAUUUCAAACAAGUGAUAAGUAAAUUCGUGAAGGUGAGAGGGUAAGCGAAUCGAAGAAAAUGAGUUUCGUCAAAGUUUGACAAUUUGGGAUAAAAUACGGUCCAAGCUAUAAUACCCUGUAUUUAUGGACUAGUGCCAUACAAGGUACCACAUAACCAUGAUAGUAAGGUGUAUAAAGUUUGUUAAAAGUGAUUAGUAUUUUAAGUAAUUUGAGAUAAUUCUUAAUUAUGUGGAUAAUUGAUAAUUAUUGAUUUUUAGUGGGUGAGUUAACAAGGUAAUUAAUUUUGGUGGAUAAGCUUAAAGGGACAUCACCCUCAACGUUGAAGCAAGGGGACUUAAGCAUCAAUGACUCUUUGGUGUUUAUAAUUAGGUGGCAUAUUUAGAGAUUUUUGGGCAAAAUAAUCCCCAAAAAUGGGGCCCACAAACCUCAAAGAUAAGAGAUUUUCAUACAUCAUUUAAGAGGGAUGUGCAUGUUGGUUAAGUAACGGAUGUAGCCUCCAAAAUAAUUCAUAUGGAACUUCAUAAUGCUAUUGCAAUAUAAGAUUUGUGAUUCUAAGAAAGUACGGUGCAAUCUUUCUCAAGAAUACCAUACAGAUCUUUUCCUAUUUCGAUCUCGCUGUUACGUAUUUCAUCACGAUUGGCAUGUGUUAGAGGGAUUGUCAAGAAAAUCGGCUCAGGUAUGUUAAGGUUAUCUCUUCUUUCCUUUUGGUAUGAUUCGUACGAUACAAACGAAACGAGCAAACGUACAACUUUCAUAAAUACCUCUAUUCAUAAAAGCAAUAGGGGUGCCUAUGUUCUUGAUUUCCCAUGUGUCUUAUUAUAUCUUCUGUUCAUGGGUCUCGAAAAUAAAUGCGUAAUUGAUAAAGUUUAUCCGAAGACAUAUUGAUCUUAUGACAUUCUGAGAAAUCUUAUUAACUUACUUCUUAUGCAUUUUAUUCAUUUAUACUUGUGCAUUGACCCAUGACCAGAUGCCGUUAUAUACGCGUAUAUUAUAUGUAUAUGGGAUAUGGGAAAAGGUUACGGCGUUAUAUACGCAUCACUACCUGAUCAGCUGGUAUACGUUGAUGAUUUUACCCACAGUGGCCGAGAUGAUAUGAUGGGAUGCCCUUAGAGGCUUGAUAAUGUGAUGUACGCAUAUACCUAUGCAUGACAUGACAUUUAUACGCACGUGCAUGAUAUUAUAAAUGUUUCAGGAUUCACAAAGUUGUUUAGACUUACAGGUGGAAUUCUUUACUCUACGUUUCUUUUAUGUCUUUUAUGCACUGAUUUUCAUGCCUUAUAUACUCAGUACUUUAUUUGUACUGACGUCCCUUUUGCCUAGGGACGCUGCGUUUCAUGCCCGCAGGUGCCGAUAGACAACUUGAGAAUCCUCCAAGUAGGCUAUCAACUCAGUAGAAGGUGUUGUUGGUGCACUCCAUUUGCUCCAGAGUUGCCUAUUUGGUUAGUAUAAUUUGGAGAUGUAUGGAUUGGUAUGGCGGGGCCUGUCCCGACCUUUAUGACAUUUAUGUACUCUUAGAGGCUUGUAGACAGAUGUCAUAUAUAUGGAUACUUGUAUGUCCUUGUCGGCCUAUGGUGUGAGUAUACAAAUGAUCAUGUCGGCCUUAUAGGCCCGUAUGUCAUAUGUAUAAGUCGGUACAUCACGUUGGGUCAUCCUAUGUCAAGUAUUUCCCUCAUGUUUUAUUCCAGUUAUCUCACGACAGCCUUUCCGGCUCAUUUACCUAUGAUAGUAUGAUAUGACAGAUACAUUACGUUGAUACUCGAUUGAGUAAGGUACUGGUUACCCGUUGUGGCCCAUCGGUUUGGAUCGUGACACAAGUGCUAAGUUGUAAUCGAUUUUAUUAUUGGUCAUGCUUGUGGUGAUAUUUGUAUGAAUUCAUGCUAAAUUUGCAAUGAGUUGUAAUUAACCUUUGGAAAUCAGUUUAAAAAGGGUUUGGUUUCCAAAGGUCAUUGAGCCCAAGAUGAGGCAUAAGUCAGACGGGCCUGAACUCAUCUGAAUAUGUGAGCCCAUUAGGCUUCACAGUUCAUCAGCGGGCCUAGUUCCCGUACAUUUGGACAUGGACCAAUGCCAUUGCCUAGGCAUAAAGGCUGGUUCAUUUCGACCCAGCAGUCUUUCGAUCAUGGUGGUAGCCUAAUGUCGUCGCUUGUGCAGUGGACUGGGGCCUUCUGUGAUCCAGCAUAUGUCACGACCCAAAUCCCUCUUUAGAAGUCGUGAUGGUACCCGGUCUCCAAACUAAAUAAGCCGGGCACUUAACAUUAUUUAGAAUAAUAAAAGCAUGAUUUAAGGAAAACAGAAUUUAAAAUAAAUGCAGAAAUAGGAGUAAUACAUGCCAAAGCGGCAAUACUCAACAUAACUUCCUAGAACUAGGUGGUACAGAGUCACAAGCUCUAACUAAAUACACGAGAAUAUCUCAAAAAUACGGUACAGUCUGAAAUACAAAUAUUGUAGAAAUGAAAAAAGAGCGUGACUCCGAGGCAUGCAGUACCUUGAAGUCUCUGGUGUAUCAAAUGCCUCACUGCCGAUCAGCUCGAUCCGAAGUACCGGAUCUACACAAAAUAUGCAGAAUCGUAGUAUAAAUACACCACAAUCGGUACCAGUAAGUAUCAAGACUAACCUCGUUAGAGUAGUGACGAGGUUCAAGUCGUUUGAUACUCACUAGACAAAUAACCCGUGUAAUGAAUAUAAUAAAAAAAACUGAUAAUAGAAAUAUAAUGAAAAAUAGUAACAACAACCCCUUUAGAGCAUGCGAUAACAACUCAGAAUUAUAAGCAUAUCUUUGAUCCCAAAACAUCAAAUAGAGGUGAGGCAUGUGAUAACAUGUCAAAUGCAAUCAUUAACUCAAUUAAAGAAAAAACAGAAGCUUUCAGAAAUAAUUAUGAAAUAAAAUUAGCAACCCCGUCUCAACACAACCAUAACAACAAUAAGGACACCUCGAAAUAUCACAUAACAUCAUCAACAAUGAUACCCUUAUUACGCCGCAUGUGCACAUAAAAAUGAAAUGCCACCCUUAUUUCGCCACAUGCAUACAUAGCCACCCUUAUUUCGCCAUGUGGGCAGUCCAAGAUAACGCCACCCUUAUUUCGCCCCAUGCGCACAACAAUAAACACAAUCGCAUGGCAAAAACCUCGUGCUGACACCCCCAAUCAAUCUUCUCAACAUGUCCACAAGUGCCACAACACCUCAAAACCGUAAUACCAAGUGCCACAAUUUUGCAAAUAAUGAUACCAAAGUUCCACCAUGAUGUAAGAUCACAACUUUCAACAACAGUGCACAUGGAUAUAACAAUAAAGCAGAGGGGUAUACAAUUAAUAUAGCUUGACUAUGGUUAAGUCAAUGUAAUGAUCAUGAUAAAAUGAUCAUUAAAGAAUCUCAACAUGUUGCAUAUAAAGUUCACUAUCACAUUAAGGCAUAUUAAUAUCGUAUGGUCUAUUCCGAUCAAACCACACAUAGUACCCAUAUAUAUGCUUGUCACCUCAUGUACACGUCACUUUUACAUCAUAGAAAUCAACAUAACAGGACUAGCCCCUAAGGGGUAUUCCCCCACACAAGGUUAGGCAAGAUACUUACCUCAAAGAAGCUAAAUCAACACUCUAAGAAGCCCUUCCCGCGUGAAACAACCUCCGGACGAAUCGAAUCUAGACAAAAUAACUUAAUAUCAUAAAUAAAAGCCAUAGAAAAUGAUUCAGAAUAAUAAAGUUUCGAUCUUUAACUAAAAACAAAAGUCUACUGAAAAAGUCAAUCCCAGGCUCGCACCCCGGAACCCGACAAAAUUCAUAAAUCCUACACAUAUUCCGAUACGAGUCCAACCAUAUCAAUUACAUCAAAUUCCGACCUCAAAUCGGCUUUCAAAUCAUCAAUUUAUGUUUUAGAAAGUUUUUACUAAAAUUCCCACUUUCUUCAAUUUGAUUCAUCAAAUAAUUGUUAAAUUCAAGGUUGGAAUCAUGAAAUAUAAACAAUUCCGAGUCAAAUAUAUUUAACCCAAUCCAAAUCAUGAAAAUUUCCUCCAAAAUCGUACAAAUCCGAGCUCUAUAACUCAAAAUAUGAUAAAAUAACAAAAGUCCUCGAAAUAGAGUAUUAAAUAAGCCUGCCUAGGUAUACACAUUGUGAACGCGGGAUCCUCAUCGCAUUCGCAAAGACCAAAAAUCAUCUUCCCGAAAAAGGCAUUCGCGUCCGCAUUCACCCCAUCGUGAACGUGAUGAAGAAAAUAUCUAAACCUUCACAAACACGGCUUGGACCUCGCGAACAUGGCUUGGACCUCGCGAACGCAUAGGCGAAACUCCUCCCAGCACCCGGCCACUUUGCGAACACGGAGACCGAUCGCGAACACAAAAAAGGGCGACUGCCCAGCUCCCUCUAACCCUGUGCAAAUGCGACCACCAUGUCGUGAAUGCGAAGAAGGAAACCAGACCUGAAAAAAGUAGCAGUCCAAAAUAAGAUGGAAUUGUCUGAAACCCAUCCUAAACACACCCGAGGCCCCCGGGAUCCCGUCCAAUCACACAAAGCUAUCCAAAAACAUAACAUGAACCUACUCGAGGACUCAAAUCACACCAAAUAACAUCAAAACUACGAAUCACACCUCAUUUCAAGCCUAAUAAACUAAUGAACUUUCAGCAUCUAAAACGCAUGUCGAACUGUGUCAAAUCAAUUCGGAAUGACUUCAAAUUUUGCGUAUAAGUCCCAAAUGACACAACGGAUCUAUACCAACUCUCAGAAGCACAAUCUGAACCCGGUAUCAACAAAGUCAACCCUCGUUCAAACCUAUCAAUCUUCCAAACCUUCAACUUUCAAACUUUCGCCAAGUCAAGCCAAAACAACCUAGGAAUCUCCAAAUCUAAAUCCAGACAUACGAACCUAUUGGAACCAUCAAAAUACCAUUCUGAGGUCAUCUAUACAAAAGUCAAACUUUGGUAAACUCUUACAACUUAAGCCUCCAACUAAGGGACUAAGUGUUCCAAAUCAAUUCAAACUCUCCCGAAACCACACCAAUCAACCCCGCAAGUUACGUAACCAUAAAUACACAUAUGUAAAGCAUCAAAUAGGGGAAACGAGGCUAGAAUACUCAAAACGACCGGCCGGGUCGCUAUAUUCUCUCCCUCUUAAAUACACGUUCAUUCUCGAACGAGUAUAAAGACAUACUUGAAGCAAAAAAAAAAGAAGAGGAUAGUGGCUCCGCAUAUCAUGCUUGGUCUCCCAAGUCACCUCUUUAACCGGUUGACCUCUUCACAGAACCUUCACCGAUGCAAUGUUCUUUGACUUCAACUUCCAGACCUGCUUGUCCAAAAUAGCCACCGGCUCAUCAACAUAGGUCAAAUCCUUGUCUAACUACACUGAGCUGAAAUCUAACACAUGUGACGGAUCACCAUAAUACUUCCGGAGCAUGGAAACAUGAAAGACAGGAUGAACUUCCGAUAAGCUGGGUGGCAAAGCAAGUUUGUAGGCCACCUCACCCACUCUCUCAAGAAUCUCAAAAGGGUCAAUAUACCGAGGGCCCAACUCCCCUUCUUCCCGAAUCUCAUAACACCCUUCAUGGGUGAAACUCUGAGUAAAACCCUCUCACCCACCAUGAAUGCCACAUCACGAGCCCUCAUAUCAGCAUAACUCUUCUGCCUGGACUACGCUGCACGAAGCCGCUCCUGAAUCAACUUCACCUGAUCCAAACCAUCACGGACCAAGUCAGUGCCCAAUAACCUAGCCUCCCUAGGCUAAAACCAAUCAACUGGAGAACGACAUCGCCUCUAAUAUAAGGCCUCGAAUGGAUCCAUCUAGAUGCUCGACUAAUAGCUAUUGUUGUAAGCAAACUCUACGAGUGGUAGAGACUGAUCCCAUAAACCCCGAAAUCGAUAACACAUGUACGUAACAUGUCCUCCAAUAUUUAAAUAGUGCACUCGGACUGUCCGUCCAUUUGGGGAUGAAAUAUCGUACUCAGCUCGACCUGCAUGCCUAACUCUCACUAAAUAGCUCUCCAAAAAUAUUAUUUAGAAUUAAGAAUCGUGAUGACACCUAAUCUCCAAACUAGGUAAGCCGGUCACAUAAUAUUAUUUAGAAAAAGUAUGAUUUAAUGAAAACAAAAUUUAACAUAAAUGCAGAAAUAGGAGUAAUAUAGGCCAAAGUGGCAAUACUCAACUUAACUUUCCUGAACUAGGUGGUACAGAGUCAUAUACACUAAUUGAAUACAAGAAAAUAUCUCAAAUAUAUGGUACAGUCCGAAAUACAUAAACUGUAGAAAUAAAAAUAAGAGGGUGACUUCGAGGCCAGCGAUCAGAUCAUGCAGGGAUAUCUUGAAGUCUCCAGUGUAUCAAGUGUCUCACUGUUGAUCAGCCCAAUCAAAAGUACCUUGAUCUGCAAAACAUAUGCAGAAGCAUAGUAUGAGUACACCACAAUCGAUACCUAGUAAGUAUUAAAACUAACCUUGGUGGAGUAAUGACGAGAAUCAAGUUGUUUGAUACUCACUGGACAAAUAACUUGUGCUAUGAAUAUAUCAAAGAAAACUAAUAACAGAAAUAUAAUGGAAAAAUAGUAACAACAACCCCUUUAGAGCGUGCGAUAACAACUCAUGAUAAUAAGCCCAUCUUUGAUCCCAAAACAUUAAAUAGAGGUGACGCAUGUGAUAACACGUCAAAUGUAGUCCUUAACUCAAUUAAGGGCAAAACAAAACUAUUCAGAAACAAUUAUGAAAUAAAAUUAACAAUCCCUCUCAACACAAUCACAACAAUAAUGAGGACAUCCCGAAAUAUCACAUAAUAUCAUCAACAACGCCACCCUUAUUUCGUCCCACGCGCACAACAAUAAACACAAUCGCACGUCAAAAAUCUCGUGCUGACACCCCCAAUCAAUCUUCUCAACAUGUCCACAAGUGCCACAACACCUCAAAAUCGUAAUACCAAGUGCCACAAUUUCGCAAAUAAUGAUACCAAAGUUCCACCAUGAUGUAAGAUCAUAACUUUGAACAACAGUGCACAUGGAUAUAACAAUAAUCAUAAAAGCAGAGGGGUAUACAAUUAAUAUAGCUUGACUAUGGUAAAGUCAAUGUAAUAAUAUUGAUCAAAUAUUCAUAAAAGAAUCUCAACCUGUUUCAUAUAAAGUUUAUUAUCACAUUAAGGCAUAUUAAUAUCUUACGGUCUAUUCCAGUCAAAACCACACAUAGUACCCGUAUACAGGCUCGUUACCUCAUGUACACGUCACUAUCACAUAAUAGAAAUCAACAUAACAUGACUAGAACCUAAGGGGUAUUCCCCCCUCCCCCUCCCUCUCACAAGGUUAGGUAAGAUACUUACCUCAAGGAAGCUAAAUCAAUACUCUAAGAAGUCCUUCCCGAAACAACCUCUGGGCGGCUCGAAUCUAGCCAAAAUAACUAAACAUCAUAAAUAAAAUGCGUAGGAAACGAUUUCGAAUAAUAAAGUUUCGAUCUUUAACUAAAAUAAAAAUUCAACCCCGGGACUGCACCACGUAACCCGAAAAAACGUACAAAUUUUGAACGCUUAUUCCGAUACGAGUCAAACCAUAUCAAUUACAUCCAAUUCCGGCCUCAAAUUGACCUUCAAAUUAUUAAUUUAUGUUUGAGAAACGUUUUUGCUAAAAUCCCCAAUUUUUUUUAAUUUUAUUCAUCAAAUAAUCGCUUAAACAAGGUUGGAAUCAUGAAAUAUAAACAAAUUCGAGUAAAAACAAUACUUACCUAAUCUAGAUCGUGCAAAUCCCUUCCAAAAUUGCCAAAAUUCGAGCUUUACAACUCAAAAUGUGAUAAAAUAACAAAAGUCCUUGAAAUAUAGUAUUAAAUAGGUCUGACCAAAAAUCAUCUGCUGGAAAAAGGCCUUCGCGUUCGCGUUAGCGUUCGCCCCAUCGCGAACGUGAUGAAGAAAAUACCUAAGCCUUCAUGAGGCCAAACUCCUCCCAGCACCCGGCCAUUUAGUGAAUGCGGAGCUCGAUCGCGAACGCAAAGAAGGGCGACUGCCCAGUCCUCUAUAACCCUCCACGAAUGCGACCGCCAUGUCGCAAACGCGAAGAAGGAUACCAGACCUGAGAAAAUCAGCAAUCCAAAAUAAGGUGGAAUGGUUCGAAACCCAUCCAAAACACACCCGAGGCCCCCGGGACCCCUUCAAAUCACAUCAACCAUUCCUAAAAUAUAACAAUACCCUACUCGAGGCCUUAAAUCACACCAAACAAUAUCAAAACUAUGAAUCGAACCGCAAUUCAAGCUUAAUGAACUAAUAAAAUUUCAACUUCUAAAACUCAUGACGAACCAUGUCAAAUCAACUCGGAAUGACCUCAAAUUUUACAUGCAAGUCCCAAAUGAUAGAACAAACCUAUACUAACUCUCGGAACCAUAAUCCGAACCCGAUAUAAAUAAAGUCAACCCUCGGACAAACUUAUCAUUCUUUCAAACCUUCAACUUUCCAACUUUCGCCAUUUCAAUCCAAAACAACUUAGGAACCUCCAAAUCCAAAUCCGGAUGUACGCCUAAGUUCAAAAUCACUAUACAAAACUAUUGGAACCAUCAAAAAUAUUAUUUUGGGGUCAUCUAUACAAAAAUUAAACUCCGAUCAACUCUUACAACUUAAGCCUCCAACUAAGGGACUAAGUGUCCCAAAUUAAUCCAAAACUCUCCCGAAACCACACCAAUCAACCCCGCAAGUUACGCAAUCAUAUAUAUAUAUNNNNNNNNNNNNNNNNNNNNNNNNNAUGCUAUCAAACAUUGCCAUACACUCCAAAAACGGGAAUAAUUCAAAUCGGCCAACUUUCCAUUUCGAAUAAUUACCUAAUAAAUUUGUGUAAUUCGUAAAACGAUUCGCCCCUUCUCUUAAGUUCAUAAUCCCGUUAAUUGUAUUUGCCAAAAUUCUAUGUGACAAACCUUUAUUGGUAGUUUAGUGGCACCAUAUACCUAUACUAUUGAAACUUCCCACAAUGAAUCUUACACCUUUUCUAUAAUGCAAUAUCCAUAACUUUAUACCUCACAAAAAUCUCAAAUUAGAAAUUACUCAUGACAUGCUAGUUACUCCUAGGCACGUAUAAAUAAUUAAUUAUCAUGAUUAUGAGUAUGAUUUUUGUUACGCCCCAAACAGGGAAGGCAUGGCCGACACCUGGUGCUAUACUUGACCCCGUGAGUACUACUCUGUUACUGUAAACUCUGGGGGUAAUCUUCAACUUAGGAUGACAAGGACUACCUGCCAACAGACAAUGCCAACAAAGGCUGUCGAGGCCAUAUUCUGAAUUAUCUAAAAAUAAUUUCCAUCUCAUCUGAAAGGUAAACAUAUGCAAAAACUCAUAUACAUAACUGUACAGUCCGAUGAGCAUAUACAAGGGACAUCAAGGCUGCUAUACUGACAUACAGACAUACAUAACUUGUCUUUAAGCCUCUAGAGAUAACAAAACUAUAUCAUGGUCAGACCUAUCCAUCAAGUAUGUUUAUACAAAAUGGACUUCAAAGUCUAGACCUGGUAACUUUGGGGGAGUAGAGCUUACCGAUCAAGAUAAUGUCUAGCUCUGUCUGCUAGAAAGGUCUAUCUGGCUUCCCAUUAGAACUUGCAGACAUGAAAUGCAACGUCCCUCUGCAAAAGGGACGUCAUUACAAAAUAAUAUACUGAGUUUGUAAGACAAUAUAAUAACUGAAAGCUGAAACUAAACUGAAGUACAUAGUAAUCUGGAACCCAAAGAAUGCUCUAAGACAUACUCACAUGUUCCGACUCAAAACAAUAUAAUAUAGUAAUGUCAUAGCUAGCUGGCCACAUAUAUGGCUCGAUGUAUCUCUCACUGACCGUAAGGCCAGAAAAAUAUAAAGUCUUACUAACCAUAAGGCCAGGCAAUAAUAUCUAUCAUUGACCAAGUGGCCAGGCAAUAAUUUUUGUCACUGACCAUAAGGCCAGGAAAUAACAAUAUCUCAUUGACCAAGUGGCCAGAGUACAUAAAAUAUAUGUAUACGAUGCUGUAUGUCAUAUGUAUAGUAGAAUGUAUGGAUGUACGUAUGUAACUCUCUAUCUUUGUGCAACAUAAUGAAAUAACAUAAAGAGGAUGGGAACCUCUCUCAAUAAGAUACGAUGGAAGUAUAUGGAAAUAUGUGACACCUAUUGAGACAUAAAAUCUACAAUAUGUGUUCUCAUAUAAGAGUUAUCCAACUCGUACUUACUAUAAAUUCAUACCAAUGAAAGAAAAUGGAUAUCCAUAACAUACCUCUCUUCGUCUAUAUGAACACAAUAGAACAUGUCUCGAAUAGCACCUCAACCUAUAACAAUGACAAUACGUUCGUUAACUUAAAGAAUACUAGUAUACGAUGUAUAUCAAAUGAUAACUCAUUCCUAUAAAGAAUGCAGCAUCAUAUCCCCUUAUUUUAGUACUUUACCCAAGCCUACAUUAGGAAUAAUAAUGACUACAACCAGCAAACAACUCAACACCAAAGUAAUGAGCGACAAGCACGAUCUCAGAUUACUAAACGUCACGUUUCCAACUUCUCUUUUUUUUCUAAAUCGAGCAACACAACCAACAACACAUAACCAGCCCACUUACUACAUAAACCAGCCAUAAAUUUAACAUAGAAUUAAGCUCAUAAUCCGCCAAUCAGUAACGCAACAACAACAACAAUAAACGAUAAAAGGACUUUCGUCAACGAAAAGGAAAACUAGAAUAUAACGUAUUGAGCAACGAGCUCAUCUCAUAGCCACAACCAUAACCGUUUUUCUCCAUAAUCAUAAUAACAAGAGCAAAAACAACAAACCCAAGUUAUUCCCCAUAAUUUUCCAGCCAUAACAUAGCUCAAAAAAUCCCAAAAUAGCCCAACAAUUACAACACAUCAAACGAGGUUUUUACUCCAUUUAUCUUACAAGUUCUUUAACAACAAGAUAGCUCGACUUAGAUAAGAUCAAGAACAAGUAGAAGAAUAAUAAUCUCUCCUUCAAUCAGCAUGAACAUAUCCAACUCAAGCUUACUUCACCAUGAAAAAAUCUUCCAAAACAGCCACUAGAAGAAGAAUAACAAAUCUAUAAACCCCACAAGGUUUUUAGAUAUUGAUUAACUUUGAGAACCUUAGGAUUAGCUAUUGAACUAUUUGAGAACCUUUAGAGAGAGUUUUAGGGUGUAUAGAAACUAAUAUGAAAGAAAAAUGAGGUCUCCAAGUCGUUCUACCACUUUAUACAUCUUGAGAAUUUUCCACCGCCUAAGUGGGUCCCAAAGGGGCUGCCUGUGCAGUCUCGCAAAAAUGCAAAUAUCUCUCUACUACAACUUUUUAUUGAUAAAAGGUUUAAUGCAUUGGAACCUAGACUCGUAUGCCUUCAAUUUGGUGGUUGUAUCACAACGUAACUCUGCGUAUAUUGGGAGAAAAAUUCGGUGACAUUUGACCCAAAUUUUAGUACAAUUAUGAGCGUAACUUGCAAUAACUUUUGCCAACUUUUAUUUUACAACUUGUCUGAUAUCAAAACUCAACAUACAAAUUUUAUAUAAUUAAAGUACCUUAAAACACAACCUUCUUAGCAUAUUAAGCACUCCUAAUUUUAACCCAAAGUACGAGUUAUAAUAUCUUUGAUUCGUUUAGCUUCCAACCCUCACAAUACUUCCUUAACACAUGUUUUAACUCAUCAUUAUAUUUAUAGAGGUCCUUAAACUCUCCGUCUUAUAUUGAUUCAUUUAAGACGCAUUCUAACUUUGUUACCUUAUUCUAAAAACUUCAACAAAAUAUUCUUUCGCUUUUAGCUCUCCUUGCUCCAUCUCACUGGCUCUUUGGGUGGCCUAACAUUUCUUUUUACUAGGGACAGGAGUCAUACUAAAGUAAAUAUUUAUCCCUUCUAGGAUUUCAGUGCCUAUCUUCUGAAUUUUCUGAAUAUUCUAGUAUUCAUAUCUGACUCUACAAUUUUAGAAUGCACCACCUGGGUGUCUCACAAGGGUGACUAUUAUCACGUUUGCAAUAUCGUUCGAAAAUAUCAGCUAAUGCAAAUAAUCCAUCUACCAUUUUGGAUUACUCUAACCCCGCUGGAUUCUAAUUUUCAUCCUUCUCUUAAACUAUAUAUGUUAGCUCCCAUAAGGCAUAACUGAGAUGGGUAUGUCCAAUUAUACAUACCAUUAUUACUGUUAAAAGUAAACUCAGAAUGCUUAUAUUUGUUUGCCUGAAUUGUAAAUACUGAUAAUCUUCACUAACUGGGUACCUCGUACCCUUCUUCACCUUGAUUCAUUUACCUGUUAAAACUUAUACUUUUACCUUUUGAUACUCCCAUGGCAUGCUAUUCGUGGGGUGUGUUAGAUAUCCCCAUCUUAGGGUCUUAAGUAUAAAAUUUGCACAACAAGUAUGCACGAUCUGAUAGGGCCUCAAACUAGGCCACGAUGUCAAGGAACUCUCUCUCUUCUAGUGCCCUUAGCUAUUGUUGUAUUAGCCCUCUGGCUAGCUGUAAUUUUUCUAAUUGCAAGCAUCUCUCUAUCAUUAGCAAACCUAAGACCUGACUCAAAAACUCUUAUGGCUCAGAUCUAUAGCACGAUUGGGAUUUGAAAGAAGGGUAAGAGACUCCUAAAUGCCUUGUAGCUUCCUAUUUAUAUAAUGUGGUGAACAAUACAUCUAUAAUCAAGCCUACAGUAGACAUGGCUUGUAGACUCCCUAGGUCAGACUGUAAGGCACCGUAAAAUUUUCACAAAGGAAAUUAAGGUUUCGUGGUGCUGAACUAGGCUUACAUGUUUGAGGCUCAGACUUUUUUUGGGUUGAACAAUACGCUGGGGAGUAAAGGAAAACUUUCAGUAGAAAAAGAUAUUUAUGUGGCCCACUAUGUGACCGUAGAAUCACUCUUCGGACCGCAUAAUGGCGGCAGAGUAAAUCAGAGGCGGGGCAAGAAUGGAGGAAGGUCUGCGGUACACUAUGCGAUCGCAGACCAGUUAUGCGGUGCAUUAUGCGACCACAUAAUAGGUAUGCGGGCCGCAUAAUCACCGCAUACCCAACCAGACGACCCCAAUUUUGGAGCAUCAAUUAUGCGACCGAUAUGCGGGCCGCAUAAUGGUUCUGCGGUACGGUCUGCGAUCGUAGACCCGGUUUCGACAAUUUUAAGUUUUGGAAAUUUUACCCGCCUAUUUUUAUAAAAAGGCAUUGGGGGUCAUAUUUAAGGGUUUCAUCUGACAUUUUUAGAGAGAGGUGAGAGUAUCUUAGAGAGAGAAAGAGAAGACCUAGUCAUUUAUUCAUCAAUUCUUGCUCAAGGCUUGAAGAUUUCACAAGGAUCUUGCUAGGAUUCAAAGAGGUAAGAAUUUCUUCCCCCAAUUCUUCAAUUUCGAGUUUGGGUAUGAUAUGGGUAAUUUGGGAGUAUGAGUUUUGGAUAUGGGAAUUGUUAUUUAUCAUAUGCAUGGGCUAGUAGGGAUUAUGGGGAAGUUGUUGAACAAUCUUUGGUGAUUUUGGUGUUGAAUUAGUUGUGGAGUGAAGGAAAUCUUGUGGAUGAACUUUGUAGUGUAAUUUGCACACCUAGUGUUUGAUAAAAUGCUCAAGUGAGCUGGAACUAUGAAUUCCUUCCUAAUUUGUGUUCAAUUUUGGUUUAUGUCUAAAUAGAUUAAAUGGCUAAGAUUUUCAGAACAUUGUAGUAAAUUAAAAGGCUCGAAGUAAGGUAUGUUGGCUAAACUCCUCUCUUAGAAUUGAAUCUCAUGUUAUUCAUAUAAUUUAUAUAAGUCCCGAGUUGUUCAUUAUAAAUUUGGCUAUUCCGAAUAAGCUUGUGUUGAAAGAUAUAUGUUCAAUAUGUAUACCAAAUGCUUUUAUCGUGUUAUGUCAUCAUUUGAGAACAUGUUCAAAGUAUGGACUGUGCAUUUAAGAUGUUUCGACUUCAAGUCAAGUUCAAACGAAUGCUAUUAUGCCAAAUUUUGUGAAAAGUCUCUAUGUGUCUAAGACUCUUAAUUGCUCACAUGUGUGCUAAAAACCUUGAUUUGUAAUGCUUUGUUGUUGUUGAUGAUGUUGAUGUUUGAAAGUGAAAAAGGUAAGCAUGAAAUACUAAAUACAGCCGAUGUGCCAAGAAUAAUUUUAUAAUUGUGGCCACUAGUGCCAAUGAAAUAAAAAGAUGUGAAAGAGGUAUGAAACGAAUGAUUGGUAUAAAAGAAUGAUGUCUUGAAUGAGACGGCAUAGUCGAUCGGGUCGUGAUCGGAUGUCAUGCCGCGCAUAUGGUGGUGAUUGUGCUUGAAAUUAUAAUUUUGGUUGAUGUCUCGAAUGAGACUGCCUAGCCGAUCGGGUCAUGAUCGGACUCCGUGCUAAAAGUACGGUGGUAUUGAUAUUGUGAAAGGUGACAUUAUUGGUACUAAAAAUCUCCCAACUUAAGAUAUGGAAAUUAAUUUGAACACUAUCUUGAUACUAAUUUGAGGUUUGAUGUUGUUUGAGGCUUCCAUUGAUAUUAUGAUUAUUCUUGCUCGUAUUAUUUAUCAUUCUAUUGAGAGGGUGUUUUGUUAUUCAUACUAGUACUAUUCCAUAUGUACUAACAUCCCUUUUGUCGGGGGUGCUGCAUCUUCAAUGGAUGCAGGUGGUUCCACAGUAGGAGACAUUAAUCAUUGAUAGCGGUACAUCCUCUUCCCAGCAGACUUGGUGAGCCCCACUUUAUUUCGGGGUCAUGUAUCUUUUGUUCCUUGUGUAUUGUGUUUGAGAUAUAGGUGGGGCCUUAUUGCCGGCAUUAUCAUAAUACUCUUCUGUAUCUAUUAGAGGCUCCGUAGACAUAGUGUGGGUUGUAUAUUAGUGAUGGGAAAGUCAAACAAGUUAUGUUGUGUUUGAAUUACUUGUUCCAUUUUAGACCAUGGAAAAUGUGUGUAAUUUGAGACAUUAAAAUGAAGUAACUAAUGGUAAUGAAUUGGUAUUGUAUACAUGGACUCCUUAUCGUAUAUUUAACAAAAAUAUGUAUUCUUUGUAUUCAUAAGUGAGUUUUGGUAGAAAGUAUCUAACAUGCUUGCUUGACCGGGUUCACUCGGUUGAGCACCGGUCGCGCUCCCCGAGUUCGAGGGCGUGACAUACUUGGUAUCAGAGCCUAAGGUUUUAAAGUGUCCUAAGAUGUCUCAGAGCCGUGUCUAGUAGAGUUCUUCUUAUUAGUGUGUUGUCGACCACAUCUAUAAUUAGGAUGCUAUUUGGGCAUUUAGGAAUAAUACCAUUCUUUCAUGUUCUCGAUCGUGUGAUAAAGGUGAUUGUAAUGUUGUUCCUCAUUUGACUCAUGCGUUGCUCUAAUUUUCUGUACAUGGCACUUAAGAAGAAGGUAAGAACUAGCCAGAGAGCUAAUGUCACUCCAGGAGUGGCAGUUGAUUCUGUAUUUGAUGAUGCGGGUGAGCACCCGAGGGGUGAGGAUAUUCUCCCAAUUACUACAAUGCCUGAUUCUACUACAACUGAUCAGACCGCACCUGUCCCUACACCUACUGAGGGUGCAACGGUCCCUCUAACUGAUAUUCCAGUACCACCUCCUGCCCCAGCGUCCGAUUCCGAUGUUUCUGAUGGGGAUCUUAGGGGGAGCCAUACAGAUGUUGGCUUAGAUAGUGGUUUCCUAGGCUCAGAGAUCAAAUGUUGCACCCACUCCUUCCAGUCAACCAGGUGAUUCUGCUAGUUCCAGGGUGAAUAGGUUUCUCCAGUUGAAUCCUCCAGUGUUCACGGGUACUAACCCAAAGGAGGACCCCUAGGACUUCAUUGAUGAGAUGCACAAGACUCUCCGAGUUAUGCGUGCUACUGAGACAGAGGCAGUGGAAUUGGCUUCCUACCGCCUAAAAGAGGUGGCAUAUUCUUGAUUUGAGCUGUGGGAGGAGUCCUGUGAGGAAGGGUGCCCUCCGGCGAGGUAGGGUGAGUUUGCCGAUGCCUUUAUUGAUCAUUUCUUGCCUACAGAGACUAAGGCAGCCCAUUCCGCUGAGUUUGAGAGCCUGAGGCAAGGUAGCCUGAGUGUGUGGGAGUACCAUAAGAUAUUUGCGCACCUGUCCAAGUAAGCUAUUUACAUGUUGCCCACUAUGGAGGCUAGAGUGCGCCAGUUUAUGCAGGGACUUAGUCCCUUGGUAAUUAUUGAGGCUACUACAGCUUUCUUGAAUUCUGAUAUAAACUAUGGGAAGAUGGUGGCAUUCUCUCAAGCCACAGAGACCCGUAAAUUGAGGAACAUAAUGGAGCGAGAGGAAAGUAAUAAGGCCCGAUCUGCGGGCAACUUUGGUGGUUUUUCUGGUGGCGGCAAAUCAGCAUUCAGUGGAGGGUCAUCAGGGCCAUCUUAGUCCUCUACUCAGUCUUCGAUUAGUGCACCACCAUCAGGGCUUAGUCAGCAAUAGUGGAGCCUUUUCAGGCCCAGUCAUGGCAAUAGGGGCUCCUAUCAACAAGGUCGUCAUGGUGGUAGAUUCCAGCAGGAGCGAAGUCCCCCAUGCCCUAGGUGUGGAAAGAUGCACUUAGGAAUAUGCUACACGAACUUACCCAUUUGCUACGGGUGCGGAUUGAGGGGUCAUAUUCAGAGGGAUUGUCGUUUGUCCCGCCAGGGUAUGGGCAGGGGCACGACACAACCAGCCAGUUCUGCAGCUACCACAUCCGCAGCACCUCUUCCAGCUCGAGGCACUCCAACACCCACAAGGCAUGGUGCAGCUAGGGGUGGAGCACAGAGUUCGGGAGGAUCCAAUCGUUUCUAUGCUAUGAGGGGUCGCUAGAAUUCAGAGGCUUCUCCAGAUGUUUUCACAGGUAUAUUGACUGUCCAAUCUUAUGAUGUGUAUGCUCUUAUUGAUCCCUGUUCCACUUUGUCAUAUGUCACUCCUUAUAUUUCUAUGAAACUUGGGAUAGAAUCGGAACAGCUUCAUUAGUCGUUCUCUGUAUCUACUUUGGUUGGUGAGUCUAUUUUGGCCGUGCGGGUUUAUAGGGAUUGUGUUUUCAUGUUGUGUGGUCGGGACACCAUGGCCGAUCUUAUUGAAUUGGGGAUGGUCGAUUUUGAUGUAAUAAUGAGGAUAGACUGGCUUUAUUCUUGUUUUGCCAAUCUUGAUUGCCGAACCAAGACUGUUAGGUUCGAAUUUCGAAAUGAGCCAGUUAUAGAGUGGAAGGGUGAUGAUGUGGUGCCAAAGGGUAGGUUUAUUUAUUAACUUAAGGCCACGAAGAUGAUCAACAAGGGGUGUAUUUACCAUUUGGUCUGGUUUACGGACACCGAUGCUGAAGCACCUACACUUGAGUCCGUACCUGUUGUGAAUGAAUUUCCAAGAGUCUUUCCGGAUGAGCUCUCUGCGAUCCCACCAGACAGGGAGAUUGAUUUUGGGAUUGAUGUGAUGCCAGGCACGCAACCUUUAUCUAUUCUGCCCUACAGAAUGGCACCGGCAGAAUUGAAGGAGCUAAAGGAACAAUUAAGAGAUUUAUUAGAGAAGGGUUUCAUACAGCCGAGUGUGUUGACUUGGGGCGCACUGGUUCUAUUUGUAAGAAAGAAGGAUGGGUCACUAAGAAUGUGUAUCGACUAUCGGCAGCUCAACAAGGUUACAAUAAAAAAUAAGUACCCACUUCCAAGGAUAGAUGAUUUAUUUGACCAAUUGCAAGGUGCUAAGUACUUCUCCAAAAUUGAUUUACGAUUCGGAUAUCACCAAUUGAAGACCAGGGAGCAGGAUAUUCUAAAAAUAGCUUUCAGGACCCGGUAUGGGCACUUUGAGUUCCUGGUAAUGUAUUUUGGGCUAACAAAUGCCCCCGCAGCUUUCAUGAAUCUUAUGAAUCGGGUUUCCAAGCUGCUCCUCGACUCUUCUGUGAUAGUAUUUAUUGAUGAUAUCCUUAUAUAUUCACGUAAUUGAGGGGACCAUGCCGAUCAUCUUAGGGUAGUUCUGCAGACUUCCAGAACAUUGAAGUAAAUUAAAAGGCUCUAAGCAAAGUAUGUUGGCUAAACUCCUCUCUUAGAAUUGAAUCCCACGGUAUUCAUGUAAUUUAUGUAAGUCCCGAGUUGUUCAUUAUAAAGUUGGCUAUUCCGAAUAAUCUUGUGUUGAAAGAUAUAUGUUCAAUAUGUAUACCAAAUGCUUUUAUCGUGUUAUGUCAUCAUUUGAGAACAUGUUCAAAGUAUGGACUGUGUAUUUAAGAUGUUUCGACUUCAAGUCAAGUUCAAACGAAUGCUAUAAUGUCAAAUUUUGUGAAAAAUCUCUAUGUGUCUAAGACUCUUAAUUGCUCACAUGUGUGCUAGAAACCUUGAUUUGUAAUGCUUUGUUGUUAUUGAUGAUGUUGAUGUUUGAAAGUGAAAAAGGUGAGCAUGAAAUACUAAAUACAGCCGAUGUGCCAAGAAUGAUUUUAUAAUUGUGGCCACUAGUACCAAUGAAAUAAAAAGAUGUGAAAGAGGUAUGAAACGAAUGAUUGGUAUAAAAGGAUGAUGUCUUGAAUGAAACGGCCUGGCCGAUCGGGUCGUGAUCGGACGCCAUGCCCCGCACAUGGUGGUGAUUAUGCUUGAAAUUAUAAUUGUGGUUGAUUUCUCGAAUGAGACUGCCUAGCUGAUCGGGUUGUGAUCGGACUCCGUGCUAAAAGUAAGGUGGUAUUAGUAUUAUGAAAGGUGGCAUUAUUGGUACUAAAAAUCUCCCAACUUAAGAUAUGGAAAUUAAUUUGAACACUAUCUUGAUACUAAUUUGAGAUUUGAUGUUGUUUGAGGCUUCCAUUGAUAUUAUGAUUAUUCUUGCUCAUAUUAUUUAUCAUUCUAUUGAAAGGGUGUUUUGUUAUUCAUACUAGUACUAUUCCAUAUGUACUAACGUUCCUUUUGCCGGGGGCGCUGCAUCUUCAAUGGAUGCAGGUGGUUCCACAGCAGGAGACACGGAUCAGUGAAAGCGGUACACCCUCUUCCCAGCAGACUUGGUGAGCCCCACUUUAUUUCGGGGUCAUGUAUCUUUUGUUCCUUGUAUAUUGUGUUUGAGGUAUAGAUGGGGCCUUAUUGCCGGCAUUAUCAUAAUACUCUUCUAUAACUAUUAGAGGCUCCGUAGACAUAGUGUGGGUUGUAUAUUAGUGAUGGGAAAGUUAAACAAGUUAUGUUGUGUUUGAAUUGCUUGUUCAACUUUAGACCAUAGAAAAUGUGUCUAAUUUGAGACAUUAAAAUGAAGUAACUAAUGGUAAUGAAUUGGUAUUGUAUACAUGGACUCCUUAUCGUAUAUUUAACGAAAAUAUGUAUUCUUUGUAUUCAUAAGUGAGUUUGGCCAGAAAGUAUCUAACAUGCUUGCUUGACCGGGUUCACUCUGUUGAGCGUCGGUCACGCUCCCCGAGUUUGGGGUGUGACACAUACCUGCUCAGAUACCAAGUUUGUCACACCCCAAACUAGAGGAGGUGCAGACGACACUCGAUGUCAUACUUGACCCCGAGUGUAACACUUUGUAACUAUAAAAUCUGUGGGUAACCGACAACUUAGGCCGAUAAGCUGUAGCUGCUAAUAGACAAUACCAACCAAGGCUGACGAGGCCAUAUUCUUAAUCAUAUGAAAAUAACGUCUAUCUCAUAUGUAAGGUAAACAUACCCUAAAGCUCAUAUAUAUAACUGUGCAGGCCGAUGAGGCCACCAUAAACGUCUGCAACAACAACACAAAAAUGAGCAUAUACAAGGGCCGACAAGGCUGCUAUGUGGACAUACAGGCAUACAAUACUCGUCUACAAGCCUCUAGAGAUAACAUAACUGUAUUAUGGUUGGGACAGGGUGCCGACCUACCCAUCAAGUUUGUAUAUAUAAAAUGGACUCCAAAUUCUAGACCUGGUAACUCCGGGGUAUGAAGCUUAUCGAUCAAGCUGAUGUUUGGCUCUGUCUACUAGGAAGGUCUAUCCGGCUGCCUAUUAGAACUCACAGGCAUAAAAUGCAGCACCCUUAGAAAAUGGGACGUCAGUUCGAAAUAAUGUACCGAGUAUGUAUGGAAAUAGAUUAAUAGAAAUCUGAAACUGAACUGAAGUACAUAGUAAUAUGGAAGCCAAAUAAUGCUUUAAGACAUACUCACCUAUUCCGAUUCAACACAAUAUAAUAUAGUAAUGUCAUAGCUAGCCGGCAACAUAUAGGGCUCGAUAUAUCUCUCACUGACCAAGUGGCCAUGCAACAUUAAACUCUCACUGACCGUAAGGCCAGAAAAAUAUAAAGUCUUACUAACCAUAAGGCCAGGCAAUAAAAUCUAUCAUUGACCAAGUCGCCAGGAAAUAAUAUCUGUCACUGACCAUAAGGCCAUGAAAUAGCCAAUAUCUCACUGACCAAGUGGANNNNNNNNNNNNNNNNNNNNNNNNNAUAUAUAUAUAUAUAUAUAUAUAUAUAUAUAUACGAUGUUGUAUGUCAUAUGUAUAGUAGAAUGUAUGGAUGUACUUAUGUAGCUCUCUAUCUUUGUCCAACAUCAUGGAAUAACAUAAAACUGAUGGGAAUCCUCUCAAUAAGAUACGAUGGAAGUAUACAGAGAGAUGUAACACCUAUUGAGACACGAGCUGUACAAUAUGCUUUUCUUGUAUAAGAUUCAUCCAACUCGUACUUACAACGAAUUAAUGCCAAUGAAAGAAAAGGGAUAUCAAUUACAUACCUCUCAUCGUCUAUACGAACUCAAUAAGGAACUUGUCUCGAAUAGCGCCUCAACCGAUAACAAUGAAAAUACAUUUGUUAACUUUAAUGAAUACUAGUAUACGAUGUAUAUCGAAUGAUAAUUCGUUCCUAUAAAGAAUUGGACAUCAUCUCCCCUUAUUUUAGUACGUUACUCAAUCCAAAAAUAGGCAUAAUAAUAACUAUAACCAGCAAGCAACUAAAAACCAAAGUAAUGAGCGACAAGCUCGAUCUUAGAUUGCUAAACGACACAUUUCCAACUUCUCUUUUCUUUCACAUCGAGCAAUACAACCAACAACACAUAACCUUACCCCUUUCCAUGUAAACCAGCCAUGAGUUUAACUUAUAAUUAAGCUCAUAAUCAGCCAAGCAGUGGCGCAACAACAACAACAAUAAACGACCAAUAUGACUUUAGUCAAUGAAAAGGAAAACUAGAAUAUAACAUAUUGAGCGACGACCUCAUCUCAUAGCCACAACCAGCACCUUCUGUUCUCCAUAAGCAUAAUAACAAUAUCAACAACAACAAACCCAAGUUGUUCUCCAUAAUUUUCUUGUCACAAUUUACCUCAAAAAUAUCCCAAAACAGUCCAACAACUACAAUACAUCAAACAUGGUUUUUAUUCCUUUUAUCCUAUAAGUUCUUUAACAACAAAAUAGCUAUGACUUAGAUGAGCUCAAGAAAAGUAGAAGAGUCAUAAUAUCACCUUCAAUCAACAAGAACAGCUCCAACUCAAGAUUUCUUCACCAUGAAAAAAUUUCCCGAAAUAGCCACUCGGAGAAGAACAUCAAAUCUAUGAACACCACAAGGUUUCUAGUAUUUAUUCACUUUGAGCAUUUUAGGAUUAGCUCUUGAAAUAUGUUAAGAAAUUUAGAGAGAGUUUUAGGAUUUGUAGGAACUGAUAUGAGCAAGAAAUGAGGUCUCCAUGUUGUUUUACCACUUUAUACAACUUGAGAAUUUUCCACCGCCUAAGUGGGUCCCAAAGGGGCUGCCUGCACAGCCUUUCGAAAAUGCAGAUAUCUCUUAAAUAUGAUAUCUCAUUAAUAAAAGACUUAAUGCGUUGGAAACAAGACUCAUAUACAUUCCAUUUGGUGGGUGGAUCACCCUGUAACUCCAAGUAAAUUGGGAGAAAAUCUUAUUGAUAUUCGACCAUAAUUUCUGAAAAGUAUGAACGUAACUUACAAUAACUUUUGCCGACUUUUGUUUUACAAUUUGUUUGACAUCAAAACUCAACUUUCAAAUGUUAUAUGAUUCACGUACCUUAAAACAAGACCUCCUUGCAUAUUAAGCACUCCUAGUUUUACCCCGCAAGUAUGGGUUAUAAUAUCUUUGAUUUGUUUAGCCUCCAACCCUCACGAUACUUCCUUAACACUUGUUUUAACUCAUCAUUAUUUUUGUAAAGGUCCUUAAACUCUCCGACUUAUAUUAAUUCACUUAAGACGCAUUAUAACAUGAAAGUACGGGAUGUAACAAUUUCUCUGGCAUAACUAUGAUACUUAACUCCAAAAUUCAAGUGCGCGUUUACGUGGCUUGAUCCUUCAAAUUCAAAUAAUAUUAAAAAGUGUUGUUAAAUCAUGGGUACGUAUGCGUGCCAUGAUUUUUUUACACGUACAAACAACAAUGGCACAUCAACGUGACUUGUUCAAGAUAACUUUUAUAAUUCUGUAAAAUAUAUAAUUAAAAAUGGUAUAAAGGCAAAAAAAAUGCACAAAUCUUUAAAAUAUGUAAUAAUCCGAAUUAAUUAAGCCAAGCGUAAUUGUUAAGAGACCUUGUUAAGACCAUGGAUCUCGAGAGUGACUCAUAUCUUCUUAUGGGUUAACAGAAUUCCUUACCCGGUCUUCUGUAUUUCGUGAAUCAUAAUUCUGCGUUAAAAUUUUCCUUGAAUCGAGAUUGUUAAAUAAAUUGGUGACUUGGAACACCAUAAUAAAAUAAUUUCAAGUGGAAACUCCUUAAUGAAUAAAAUAAUUUUUUUUCAAAUAAUGUCACUUAAGUUGGAAAAACUCCUUUCUCCAAUCCAUGUAAAAAAGGAGGUAUGACAGCUUUGGCGACUCCGGUGGGGACCGAACCCAGAAUUUGAGCUUAGAGUGCAUGUGUUCCCGGUAUGUUGGCCCCCUCGACUCAAGUUGUCUGCGUGGGUAAGCCAGGUCUAGACAACUCACCCAUUAGAAUUUUAAAACUAGAAGAAUAAGCUUCAUGCCAAAUCCCUAGUAGAAACAUUUUUUUCCUAGAGAAAUUCAUUCCACUCUCUCAGAGAGACAAGUUGUGCAACCAGUUUGAGUGUCUUCUGCAGGGUAGCAUGACCGUCACCUAGUAUAAGGCUAGAUUUGUUGAUUUGUCUCGCCAUGCAGCUAUUCUAAUCCCUACUAAUAGGGAGAAGGUGUAAGGUUCAUAGAGGGUCUUACCUAUUGCAUCAGACUUUAGAUGGCCAGAGAGGCCAACACUAGGACUUCUUUCACUUAGGUAAUGGAGAUUGCCAGGAGGAUUGAGUGCAUUAGAGGCCAGGCGAGAGAGAUGACCUUUGACAAGAGGCCUAUCAUUUUGAUGUUUUCAGUGCUGCCUCACUUGGAGACAGGGAUUCCUUUGGUAGAGGCCAUUAUAUCUAGCCCGUAUAGUCAACACUACAAGUCACACAUGGUAUAUCAGGUUGCCAUAAUGCUUAUAGACAUCGUUCUGAGCAGCUAAUAUUAAGUGCACCUCCAGCUCAUAUUAGUGCACUGCCGAUUCAAAUCUACUAAGGUGGUCAUUUGGGUCGUCAAUGAAAACCUCAAAUUAAAUAGCCACGCCCAUCGAGGAGCUUCUUUGAGUGCGGAGAUGCAGGCCAUGUUAGGAAGUUUUGUCCUAGAUUACAGAGUAGUAUGCCACAGUAGGGUACUCGUGCCAUGAUUCCGGCACCGAUUUCUACACUACACGCUCAGCGUGCUAGAGGUAGAGGUCAGCCAGCUAGGGGUGGAGGCCAGUCAGUGAGAGGUCGUCCUAGCUGUGGAGGACAGGUUGGUAGGCCCAACCCCAUUGUUAUUCAUUCAUGAUAACAACAAGGUCAGAGAUCCAAACUAGAGUAAGAAUUUGAGAAGUAAAUGCGGAAGCAAUAACAUUAAGCAAUUGAACAACUAGAAUUAAAGUGUAGAAAAAUAAAGGAUAUAGAAAAAUUCAAGGAAAGAAUUCCAAGACCUUCCGAGAACGCAAGUUCUAUAGCCUUGACAAGUUCCAAGCAGCAACAUUUUGAUUUAUUGACGAAAUCAAACGCCUUUACUUAAAAAUAAAUCAAAAUAAUAGAUUCGGAUCUUGACCCCUUUACGAGUAACUUGAGACAAUAAUUAAUAACUUGUAUUAAUCGUCUUCUAAGAAUACCACAAAGUAAUUAAUUAUAUCACAAUAAAGAAGUUAUCUUACUACCUUGAACUAUGAACUAGUAAAGGUUAAAAGAUAUUUCUCAAAGCAUAAGUAACAAAGGUUCAAAAAAACUCUCAAGUAUAAUAUUCUUAAUCAAUUAUGAAGUGCCUCAAUGAAUUAGAAGAACUCCUUAUUUAUAGGAGUAAAAGUCCUUAAAAUUAGGUGGGGUGGUUGCUAAGGGGUAACAAAAGUCAUCAAAAUUAGGUAGGGGCUGCUAAGGGGUAACAAAAGUCAUCAAAAUUAGGUAGAGUGGUUGCUAAGAAAUAAGAAAAGUCACAAAAUUAGGUAGGGGCGGACAAAUCCCUUUGGGGUAGAUUUGGGACUUAAAACUACUAGUUUGGGCCAUUGGUUUGGACUCCAGUUGGGCUCCUUUUUAAACACCCCUCUUUUGGACCUCUUUUAAGCUCAUUUUGAGCUCUUCUGGGUGCCCUUUUGCUAGAUUUCAAGGGCCGAGUUCGGGAUCCAAUCUUCCUUCUCUUGGAUUUCAAUUUGGGCCACUAAAUAAUUGUAAAACUUGUACAAUUUAUCUCCUUUGGUCUUGAGCUCGUCCUCCACAAUUAAAAGCUUCUUUAUUUGCCAUUGAAGUCCAGUAACCUUAGUCUGCAACUCUUUAGCUUGAGAUCUUAUAAAUAGCCUUCUUGGAUCUUUCAAAACUCUAACCUUGUCCUUGAUGAUAUCAUUCCCCUCUUCUUGGAGAGAAUUUAUCCCCGAAUUCGGUCCUACAUCAAACAAAGACAAGUCAACAACAUUGAAUGUAGCACUUACUUGAAACUCACCAAGAAGGUCAAGCUUGUUUUGGAAGGAAAUAUCUCUUUUCUAAAGUGAACUCAAACUAAAUCUCCAGGUUUAAAAACAACUUGUUUUCGACCCUUAUUCUUUCUUAAGGAAGUUUGCUCAUUUUUCUUCUCAAUUGCAAGCCUUGUUUGCUCAUAAAUUUUUUUCAUCUCUCAGCCUUUGUCCUACUACCAAUAUUAGCAAUAUCAUUAGUAGGUAAUGGUAAUAAAUCAAGGGGAGUAAAGGGAAUAAAAUCAUAAACAACCUCAAAAGGAGACAUACCUGUAGAAGAAUGGAUUGUUCUAGUAUAAGCAAAUUCAAUUAUAGGUAAGUUGUCUUCCCAAGAAGUUAAUUUACCUUUCAAAACAACCCUCAAAAUGUUUCCCAAGGUUAUAUUAACUACUUCUGUUUGUCCAUCAGUUUGUGGGUGACAAGAAGUAGAAAAUAACAAUUUAAUGCCUAACUUUCCCCAAAAUACACGCCAAAAGUAGCUCAAAAACUUAGCAUCCCUAUCACUAACAAUAGUUCUAGGUCUACCAUACAAUUUAACAACUUCUUUUACAAAAAGAUCAGCAACAUCUGAAGCAUCAUUAAUCUUUAAACAAGGAAUAAAAUGAGCCAUUUUGGAGAACCUAUCUACCACAACAAAUAUAUUAUCCUUAUCAUACCUUGUUCUAGGCAAACCUAACACAAAAUCCAUAGAAAUGUCAAUCUAAUGUGAAGUAGGAUCAGGCAAUGGCGUGUAAAGACCAUGUGGUAACACUUUAGAUUUAGCUUGUUUACAUUUCAAACACUGUGCACACAUUCUUUCAACAUCGUUUCUUAUUCCAGGCCAAAAAAAAA
rnacentral:lncRNA from 1 species